CUCUCCCGCCCAGGAAACGGGAAGGGCUCUUCCGCCGGAAAAAGAGUGGAUUUACUACGAAGAUGGCACAUUGGAGGGGCCGUCGCCUGCAGUAAGGCCGGUCCUUGGCCACCCGGCGGAGCCGGUGACAGCAGCGCCCUGGAAGGCAGGCAGCCGUAUCAGGUUUCAGAGGAUGCGGCAGAGAACGGGAGUAGAGGUAUAUAAGCUCCCUGAAAUCACAAAGUAGUUAUUUCCACGUUCAGAUCAUUCAGAGAUUAUGAAGUCACACACCCUGCCUUCAAUUUGCUUAUCGUCGAAUAGAGCAGACACAAGUGAAUGAUUGCAGUAUAGCCACUUAAGUAAUCUAAAAGAGGGGCUGAAAGAUCCUAACGUGACAGGGGUGAGGAGGAAGACAAAGAACGUAUAUUCCCAAUGACAAAGUCCAGAGUGCAUAACAGAUGCCCUGCUAGACACUGUCAAAUACAGCUUCACCUGGAGAUGCAGUGUAAGAAGUUGGAUGGUUCUGGGAGCUUUUAACCCCUCAGGAAGCACUAGAUGCAAGCAGGAAGGUGAUGGUUUAUGUGAGACCUGGACACAGGAAGGUGAAGAAAAAUGUCACUGCUUCUUGAGCACAGAUUUGGGCAAUAGUGCCUUUCCUUCCCAGUGACUAAGCCUGAUCAUUUGGGCAGCACCAUUCCUAGAUGAUGAAAAGAACCAUCCAGUGGACCUCAUAGCGCAGUGAGAUUUCUCCUUGACCCAGUGAUUUUAAGAAUGUUUGCCAAGAUCUAUGAUUAAAGAUUUGCGGUGGGGACCGGCCGGGCUGUGGCGGGUCCUGUUUCUCUUUCACUUUACUUCACUCUGAGGCCAGCGCGCUGGCGGGUGAGGAGUGGCGGUGGUGGCGGCUGCUGGACGUGGGAAAGCACAACCACCAAAAGGAGUGCUGAUCAACGAUCUCAUGAUAAAUCUGGAUGCUGGUUCUCAUGCCUCAGGACGUCCUACUGGGAGUGCCACGCCAGCUCCUGGGAUCAGACUUUCAUCUACUUAGGACUUCUCUUUGCCUGAACUACUAAAGCCAGUCCUAGCUAGCCGCGAAUGGCUACCCAAAGCAAACACUUGGUGAAAGAUUUUAAUCUUUUCAUUACCUGCUAUAUCUGUAAAGGGUAUCUGAUCAAGCCAACAACAAUGACGGAAUGCCUCCAUACAGUCUGUAAGACUUGUGUUGUUCAGCACUUUGAAGAUAGCAAUGAUUGCCCAAGGUGUGGCAACCAAGUUCAUGAGACAAAGCCAUUAGACAUGUUGAGAUUGGACAGUACAUUAGAGGAAAUUAUGUUUAAGCUCGUCCCUGGACUACGAGAACAGGACUUGAGUGUGAAUCUGAAUUUUGGAAGAAAAAUAAGCCUCAAGAAAAUGGACAAGAUGUUACUUCAAAAGUUGAUAAACCGAAAGUAGAUGAAGAAGGGGAUGAAAAUCAAGAUUAUCAUAGAAGUGACCCACAAAUUGCUAUCUGUCUAGAUUGUUUAUGAAAUAAUGGACUGUUGGGGGACAGUGUAGUAAAGGGUUCAAUGAAGAAAUUCAUUCGAUGUUCUACACGUGUAACUGUUGAAACUAUUACAAAAUUUCUAAGUUUAAAACUAAAACUUCCAAGUUCUUAUGAGUUGGUUGUGCUGUGCAAUGGUGAAAUUAUGGGGAAGGAUCAUAAUUGGAAUUCAUCUACAUGACAAGAUGGUGACUAAGAGGCGAAAACUUUCGGUGCUUGAACUGCUCAGCUCCGCAAGUCUGCUCUCAGGAGGGCCCUUUGUAUCAGUCAUACCCUGUGGUAGUGCAGUAUCGACCAAGAAUUGAUUCCAGUUAGACGAAGGGGCCCAGACCUCACUGAGAUGAAUCCUGCACUAUUUGUUUACUGGUCAACAGAUUGCACAGUUAAUGGUGUGUCAACUAGAGAACAC